CUACCCUUAGGCCUGGGAUAACCCCGAGAAAUCGGGGCUAAUACCGGAUGAUGCAGCGGCACCACAUGGUGAUGUUGUUAAAGUCUAUAUGGCGUCUAGGGAUGAGCUUGCGUCUGAUUAGCUUGUUGGUGAGGUAACGGCUUACCAAGGCUACGAUCAGUAGCUGGUCUGAGAGGAUGAUCAGCCACACUGGAACUGAGACACGGUCCAG
rnacentral:rRNA from 1 species